CGUCUCAGUUCGGAUUGUAGUCUGCAACUCGACUACAUGAAGCUGGAAUCGCUAGUAAUCGCGAAUCAGAAUGUCGCGGUGAAUACGUUCCCGGGUCUUGUACACACCGCCCGUCACACCAUGGGAGUUGGUAACGCCCGAAGCCGGUGACCUAACCGUAACAGGAAGGAGCCGUCGAAGGUGGGACCGAUAACUGGGGUGAAGUCGUAACAAGGUAGC
rnacentral:rRNA from 1 species